CGCCUAUGGAUGCUGGCUCGUAGAAGUUAUCCUACCCAUCCAAUUACUAAUAUUCCAACACCUGUCUAAAUAUGAUCAGAGACCGCCUGCCCUUCCGCCCAACAUCCAGGCAGCGCCCACUUGCAUUUUUUCACUCACAAGAUCAUAGGUUCAGUAAUUUGCAUUUGAAGACGACGUACACCCUACAGAGCUCCGUCCAUCGUUCUACCCUUGUCUGCUCACAAAAAAGCGUUAUAUAACGCAGAUGGAUCGUGUCCCAGACAUUGCUCGCUACGUUCGGAGCUAGAAGGGUAAGUGUAUGAUCUGCUUGCCUCUUUUCUUUUUAUUCCUUUUAUUUGGGGAAAAUGAUGGGAUGCCAAAAAAGAACUGAUUAAUUAGCAAUUAAGCUAUAGAACUCAGCUCUUGAUAUGUCUAGGCAUUUUUUUAUUGAGAAAUUAAGAGUGCCGAAUGUCUAUAACUCUAUAUCGAUUAGUUAUUAACAAACAUUGAAGAAAAAUACCAGCUAGCUAUGUACCUUGUUACAA